rnacentral:lncRNA from 1 species
AGCGGGUCAUGACUUCCGUUCCAUAGGCCAAGCUGAAAGGUGAUUCUCCGGUCGGGAUACGGGGUGUCGUCCGGUACGCCCACAGGAUGGAGUUCAGCUCUUCGACCCAGAGGCCCUUGGCUUCAUUCAGUCGGAUUUUGAGCUCGUGCAAUAUGGUUCGGUUGGUCACCUCGACCUCACCGUUGGACUGUGGAUGCCCGAUCG